GCCAGUGUGGUAUAGUGGUUUGAAUGUUGGGCUUUGACUCUGGAGAUCAGGGUUCAAGUCCCCGCUUAGCCA